rnacentral:rRNA from 1 species
GAGGGAAAGGUGAAAAGUACCCCGGAAGGGGAGUGAAAGAGAACUUGAAACCGUGUGCUUACAAGUAGUCAGAGCCCGUUAAUGGGUGAUGGCGUGCCUUUUGUAGAAUGAACCGGCGAGUUACGAUCUGAUGCAAGGUUAAGCAGAAAAUGUGGAGCCGUAGCGAAAGCGAGUCUGAAUAGGGCGAAUGAGUAUUUGGUCGUAGACCCGAAACCAGGUGAUCUACCCUUGGUCAGGUUGAAGUUCAGGUAACACUGAAUGGAGGACCGAACCGACUUACGUUGAAAAGUGAGCGGAUGAACUGAGGGUAGCGGAGAAAUUCCAAUCGAACUUGGAGAUAGCUGGUUCUCUCCGAAAUAGCUUUAGGGCUAGCCUCAAGUGAUGAUUAUUGGAGGUAGAGCACUGUUUGGACGAGGGGCCCCUCUCGGGUUACCGAAUUCAGACAAACUCCGAAUGCCAAAUAAUUUAAC